GGCUCUGUGGCAGGGAGUGGGAGGGUGAUUAACAGGGGAAGAAUUAGGAAAGAGGACACGCAAGACCACAGUAAGAGAUGGAAAUAAGAGAAUAUUCCUGAUUUCCACUGGAUGACUUUGACUGGUAUGAUUUCAUUCUCUGAAAGUGUUAACCAGGGUGCAGCAUGGCCAGAAACCAUUCCGAGCCUCAUGAAGUGGGCAAGUCAGGUUUGGUCAUUUUUGGUAAUGUCAUUGCAUGUACACAGUUUAAGACAGAGCAUCUGGUGAUUCUCGGACCUUCAAGCAAGUGUCACAUCUCAGGUGAACCUUGGCAGUUUUAAGAUGAACAAAGUAAUCAAAGCAAAAAUGUCAAAUAAUAAUAAUAAUAAUGAUAUCAGAAGAAUGUCCAGUGCCAUGGUUGGAUUCCCAGAAGGCAGCAUCUGCUCAUGCCAUCAACAACAUGGUGCCAUUUCAGUCAUCCUCUUUUUGUCCCAAAGACAGAAAAAAAAUAGAAAAAAGAAAGAGAAAAAGACACCACGAACCGUCUAUCCUCCUGGUAAUACAAAUACACCUGUAAAUAAACAUGUCAAUGUCUACACACAACGCACAUUUAUGCAGAAUCCAUCCUCUCGGUGCUUCCGUAGUUAUCAAGUAAAAGUCCUUCUAAGCCUAAGAAAUGAUAGUAUUAAUUCAGUCUUGGGGUGUGGGGGGAAAGGUGGACUAUCAUCAAAUAAAAAAGGCGAGGCUAAUUAAGUGACAUCCACUGGGGACUGGGAAAAGAAGAGACUUCUUGUGGGAAAGUAAUUAUAUCUUCAUUGACCCUCCUGGGGUACCCCCAGUGGCAGGGACUCUGCCUCGCGGUGUGACAUCUCCUUUCGGGAUGAGCAGCCAGUCACCUCGAGAAGCCCCCUUCUCCAUGGAUGCGUUUUCUAAUCAUUUCACAUGAUUGAGCCUCCAGCAAGUGAUGCUUUACUUAAUUCCUUUCCGCCUGUAGGGUGUGAGGUUUGGAGGGCCUCUCGUCAAAACUUUGGAGGGCUCUGUCAGUUUGAAAAGAACAUGACCUUUAAAUUGUAUCAGUAUGUUUGCUGGUGCAUAAGGGAGAGGAAAAGGUUCGUCCUGAUGGAAAACCACUCAGAAGCCAAGGAGUAAUUCAGAGGGAACCAGCCCAGGAAGAAUCAAGAAAGCUGCCCACAGUGUCAUUCUUCAGCUGAGAAAAGAGAGAGUUGACUAACUCCUCGGACUGGAGUGAGGACUCACAGAGGUGGUGAGAAGCCAUCCUCUCUUGAAUGGGGGCUCCCACUGUACAUCUGGCACCCACUUCACAGAUUCUGGGGGAUGUCAACACCAGCACUGCUGAGCUGUGUGACCUUGAGCAAGACAGUUAGCCUCUCUGAACCUCAGUGUCCUUCUCUGUAGGCUGGAGAUUGAUAUACCUUCAUUAUCGGGGUAUGAGAGUGUUAUAAGGUGGGAUGGUGGAACACGCUGACUGGUCUGGGCUAUUCAAGAUCCAUGAACUGGAAGAUGCUUUCUUAUAACUCAGAGAAAAGAGAUGAAAAUGAAUCAAAGAACAGGAAGGAGACAAGCUCAGGAGUGUGAAAACGGAUUAAUACGGAUUCCAUUAGCAGAAGCAGUUUUGGUGGGAAAAAGAUGAAGGGUGAAGAGGACUUUUACCUUAAAACAAUGAAGAGUCACCCUAAGAAGGAUGUGUGGAAGACUUGACUGGAGGAUCAAAAUGUGUCGGGGGAAGGUGUACAAGGAGGAGUAAGGACACAGAUGUCCUGACUUCACACAGUGGGGGAUUAGAAGCCACCAUCAAACACAGAUGAAACAGGAAUAAAAGUAGUAGUACAUUACUUAAGCUUUAAAAGGGUAAGACUCCUGGGAAUUUGGAAGCUGAGACUUGAGGCAAGUAUUUAGGAUUUGCUGUCUCACCUCCCUGCUAUGACAGUCCUUAAUUAAUGGAGAUGAUGGAGAACAGCUUGCUGGGCUGAGUGGCAGGAGCCAUGCAGCUGCUGGGGCUGGAGUGGGUCAGGAAGCUUCAUCAAUCUGGGACACAUGACGUGCUUGGUGGUGGCGGAGCCUGACGCAUCCCUCUUCAUCGACAUUGUGUCAAUAGGAGCAGAGGCAUUUAGCUGUGUAAACACAGAGCUUCAGUGGCAGCACCCUAAAUGCUUAGCUGAUAGAUCCGGAAUUAAAUACAGACCUAGAAACUGGAGUUGGAAAACUUCCUGGCAGCACUCCUUCCCUGCCAUCCCGGUGAUCCCCUUCUGGAUGGAGGGUGUGGAGCUCAGCACAUUCACGUCUGCAGUUCUCAGAGAACCAAGUGUUAAGGAAUGUCAGGGAAGGAAGAAGGCAGCCAGCCAGGAAGGGGAGGUCCUGGCCUGAGCACGCCAGGCACAGAGGGAUAGAGGGUAGGGAGGAAACUGCACCUGUCUCCAACCCUCGACCCCAGCCCCGAAACACGACAUUGGCUGAAACAGAUUAAAAGCAUAAAAUGGCCCAAAGAAAUGGGAGAAGGUUGGCCUCUGGUCGGGCAAACAUGAGGGCAUGAAGAUAUAUAAUGUCCCACACGGGAGGAAACCCUUGCCGGGCCCCUCAGGAUUUAUAACAAGCUCACCUGAAGGAGAAACUUCAGGGGCACUUACACCAUCAGAUACCUAGAAAGGAGCUGUCAUUUCCUCACUGAAGAGUUUGCAAGCAGAUGGUAAAAGGGGUUUAAUUUGAAAACACUGAAACAUCGUGUUCGCUCAAAACCAUGACAAUUGCAGUUUUAUUGUCUCCACUCAGGAAAAUGUGUGUCUGGAUCAUCUUGUGGCCCGAAUGGGGAGAAAAGCAGCACAAGAAUGGAAUAGUACAGUGGCUACGAACACAGAAACCACACUCCAGGCCCAGUCCCCGGCAGUGGCCUCCAGGACCCACUCUGAGCUAGAUCACAUCAGUGAUGGGCUGGCCAAUCUUUAAGGAGAAUGACUCUACUCUUAGGAAGCCAGCAGGUUGGAGGAGGAAACACAUUCAAAUCCCGAGCACAAGGAGCUGGGAGAAGACCGGUUAUGGGAGCGGCAUUCCUGGAAGCUCUGAAGUCACAGCCCCACUGAUGAAAGGAUGUAAGAACCUAAGAGUGGAAACCUGCCCCUGGGAUUCAUAUGGUGUCCCCUCAGGACUCAAACCCUGGUCUGGUAUGCUCAGUAAAUGAAUGAAUAUACCCACUACACCCCAGGUUAUUUUUUUUCUGAAGACAUCGUUUGACACAGAGGGAACACUGUAGAUAAGAAGCCCAACCCUGUUAGAAAGCAGAAGGGUUUGUUUGGGAAAAGGAAACAAAAUAUAUUUUUAAGCUCCAUAAACAUAUGAUGAAUGCUAACAAGGUAUUUUCAAAAUAAGAAGCACAUAGAAACAGCUUAUGUUUCUGGUCAAAUGAAGUUGUAAUCAAAUCGUUAUCAAAGCAAAAAAAAAGAGAGGAAGAAAUCAAAAUGAGUCAGAAGAGUUUUUGGAAAGAUUCAGCAACUUAACUGACUUGAAGAGAUUUCCCUUGUCUCAGUCUUACUGCUGCUUCUAGGGGAACACAGUUUUGCACGGGAAUCGAGGCCAACUUGCAACCCACAGGCACUCUGGAGGAACAAAGAAAGUAUCGCCUGCAACUCACCACGGUCUCUCUCUCUUAAGCCCUUGCUCUUGCCAGAAGAAGUUUCACACAAAGGUUUGCCUGCGAGGCUGCGCUUUCCUCUCCAGAUCAGCAGAAACAACUUACCAGCAGAAAUACUUAAUGACGGAGCCAAGACUGGCACAGCCACGCGGUCACAGCUUUGUUCCCAAGAAGCAAGCCAAUUAGCAGCCCUGGUUAUUAUUUACAUUUCCCGCAAUAUAUCACUAAAAUUGUGUUGAUGAUUUAUCAUUUAUAUUAUGUUAUUGUCAGCAUAAUUUAUUCAGAUCAUGCUGAGAUACCUGGAAAAUUAAGUAAAAGAAAAAGAAGUGGCAUUGAAUUCAUCGGGUUUGAAAGAUAUUUCUCAGCUUCUUUUUUCUCUCCCUCUCUUUCUCUCUCUCUCUCUCUUUUAAUGAGGAUAGAUGUUAAGAAAAAUCAUGGAUCACUUAGCUAUUAAAUUGUUCCAGGAUCAUCUGCAUUAAAAGUUUGCUCAGUAUUCUUUUGUGAGAGAACAUGGCUUGGGCGUUCAUUUGGAUUUUCUUCUGGAACCUUUUCUUUCAGUCUAUUAUUUCAAAGUAAAAAAAAAAGGAAAUGCAAUCCUCUUUAGUUUAGAGCAAAGCAGAGUGGAUUAAUGAGGGGCUGGAGGCUUCUCUUCCAAUUUAUAAAACAUCCUUAUCUUCUGCCUUAUAUUCUAUUUGCCCCACCCUCUGGGAAAUAAUUGUUGCUUAUCAGAAUUAGAGAUAAAAUAUUCCAGUUGUUGAAGCCAUUCAUCAUCUAGGCAUUCUAGAAAAGCAGUUACUGAACUAGAGGCAGCAUUUUGAGCAUCAGAGCUCUGGGUUCUAGUCCCAGGUCUGUCCAGGCUUUGUGUGAUUCCAGGAGUCACUGAAGCUAUCCUGCUUCUGUUUCCCCAGCAGUGGGAUUCAUGGAUGUCCAGGAUCAGGCUUGCUGGGUCUGCCCCAGGUCUUCAGAAUCAGACUGCCUGGGGAAGGCACAUGGAGGUCUUUUUGACAGGUGUCAUAGGUGAUACUUCUACACACUUCAGUUAGAAAAGUCAUUGGGCUUACAUAUGCCUGCAGCCACUUCCAGCUCCAGUCUUCCUAGAGUUCUACGGACUCUAAUUAUAUGGCAUGUUUUGCAUAUUUCUGAAACUUCAUAUGGGAAACAAACUUUUGGAAAUUGAUUCAUUUAAGAAUCUGUGGCCAGGCGUGGUGGCUCACGACUGUAAUCCCAGCACUUUGGGAGGCUGA
rnacentral:lncRNA from 1 species